rnacentral:rRNA from 1 species
UACGUAGGGCGCAAGCGUUGUCCGGAAUUAUUGGGCGUAAAGAGCUCGUAGGCGGUUUGUCGCGUCUGUCGUGAAAGCCCACGGCUUAACUGUGGGUCUGCGGUGGAUACGGGCAGACUAGAGGCAGGUAGGGGAGAAUGGAAUUCCCGGUGUAGCGGUGAAAUGUGCAGAUAUCGGGAGGAACACCGGUGGCGAAGGCGGUUCUCUGGGCCUGUACUGACGCUGAGGAGCGAAAGCGUGGGGAGCGAACAGG